GGUGGGAGCGGGCUUGCUCGCGAUACAAACGGUGUGGUCUGCCAGGCAAACCGCGUCGAUGCCAUCGCGAGCAAGCCCGCUCCCACA
rnacentral:misc_RNA from 1 species